rnacentral:piRNA from 1 species
UGGCAAGGUUCCCUACACCCCUAAACUUUA